rnacentral:rRNA from 1 species
GCAUGGGCGAAGCCUGUCCAGCCUGCCGCGUGUGUGAAGAAGGUCUUCGGAUUGUAAAGCACUUUAAGUUGGGAGGAAGGGCAGUAAAUUAAUACUUUGCUAGUUUUAGACGUUACCGACAGAAUAAGCACCGGCUAACUCUGUGCCAGCAGCCGCGGUAAUA